rnacentral:rRNA from 1 species
AACGAACGCUGGCGGCAUGCCUAACACAUGCAAGUCGAACGAGACCUUCGGGUCUAGUGGCGCACGGGUGCGUAACGCGUGGGAACCUGCCCUUAGGUUCGGAAUAACUCCCCGAAAGGGGUGCUAAUACCGGAUAAUGUCUUCGGACCAAAGAUUUAUCGCCUUUGGAUGGGCCCGCGUUGGAUUAGCUAGUUGGUAGGGUAAAAGCCUACCAAGGCGACGAUCCAUAGCUGGUCUGAGAGGAUGAUCAGCCACACUGGGACUGAGACACGGCCCAGACUCCUACGGGAGGCAGCAGUGGGGAAUAUUGGACAAUGGGCGAAAGCCUGAGCCAGCAAUGCCGCGUGAGUGAUGAAGGCCUUAGGGUUGUAAAGCUCUUUUACCCGGGAGGAUAAUGACAGUACCGGGAGAAUAAGCGCCGGCUAACUCCGUG